AAAUACUCAAUAGUCUCAAAUGGACAUUGAAUGUCCAUUGUAUUCAUUCUAAAACGUUUUAUAGACUGUUUAUAUGCUACUGAUUUUAUUUAAAAAUAUUGAACGUUUAUAUUACAUGCAUUGGGUAUUGUAGGAAGGAGUGAGUGUAGGGUACAAAAAUUGUUAGAGAAUUUACAGUGCAGAAUUAUAAGACAACUGUAUGCUUUUCCUUUUUUGUCUGCAUGAGUAUGUUGUUGAACAUUUGAAAGCAAAAUAUUUUUUACUUUACCUUUUA